rnacentral:rRNA from 1 species
AUUGAACGCUGGCGGCAGGCUUAACACAUGCAAGUCGAGCGAGCGGCGGACGGGUGAGUAAUGUAUGGGGACUGCCUGAUAGAGGGGGAUAACUACUGGAAACGGUGGCUAAUACCGCAUACUAUCGGAUAACCCAUAUGGGAUUAGCUAGUAGGUGGGGUAAAGGCUAACCUAGGCGACGAUCUCUAGCUGGUCUGAGAGGAUGAUCGGCCACACUGGAACGUGGACACGGCCCAGACGCCUGCGGAGGGAUCAGUUGGGAAUAUUGCACAAUGGGCGCAAGCCUUGUGCAGCCAUGCCGCGUGUAUGAAGAAGGCCUUAGGGUUGUAAAGUACUUUCAGCGGGGAGGCGUUACCCGCAGAAGAAUCACCGGCUAACUCCGUGCCAGCAGCCGCGGUAAUAC